CACGGAGUUAGCCGGUGCUUAUUCUAAUGGUACCGUCAGUCUCUUUAGAAAAAGAGGUUUCGUCCCAUUCAAAAGAAGUUUACAAUCCAGAGGACCUUCAUCCUUCACGCGGCAUGGCUGGUUCAGACUUGCGUCCAUUGACCAAUAUUCCUUACUGCUGCCUCCCGUAGGAGUCGGGCCCGUGUCUCAGUGCCCGUGUGACUGGUCGUGCUCUCACACCAGUUACUGAUCGCAGGCUUGGUGGGCCGUUACCCCGCCAACUACCUAAUCAGGCGCACGCCCAUCCAAAACCGCCGGAGCUAUAUUAAUAAAGUGAUGCCACUUCAUUAAGUUACGAUGUAUUAAUCCUCCUUUCGGAGGGCUAUUCAUCAGUUAUGGGUAGGUUGCGUACGUGUUCCGCACCCGUUUGCCGGUCGCCAUCAACUGUAUUGCUACAGUCAUGCUGCCCCUCGACUUGCAUGUAUUAAGCCUGCCGCUAGCGUUCAUCCUGAGCCAGGAUA
rnacentral:rRNA from 1 species